GAUGAACGCUGGCGGCGUGCCUAAUACAUGCCAGUCGAGCGAACGGACGAGAAGCUUGCUUCUCUGAUGUUAGCGGCGGACGGGUGAGUAACACGUGGAUAACCUACCUAUAAGACUGGGAUAACUUCGGGAAACCGGAGCUAAUACCGGAUAAUAUUUUGAACCGCAUGGUUCAAAAGUGAAAGACGGUCUUGCUGUCACUUAUAGAUGGAUCCGCGCUGCAUUAGCUAGUUGGUAAGGUAACGGCUUACCAAGGCAACGAUGCAUAGCCGACCUGAGGGGGUGAUCGGCCACCCUGGAACUGGGACACGGUCCAGACUCCUGCGGGAGGCAGCAGUAUGGAAUCUUCCGCAAUGGGCGAAAGCCUGACGGAGCAACGCCGCGUGAGUGAUGAAGGUCUUCGGAUCGUAAAACUCUGUUAUUAGGGAAGAACAUAUGUGUAAGUAACUGUGCACAGCUUGACGGUACCUAAUCAGAAAGCCACGGCUAACUACGUG
rnacentral:rRNA from 1 species